UGGUAGUGUAUUGGACAACCAUGGCUUUCACGGGUAACGGAGGAUUAGGGUUCGAUUCCGGAGAGGGAGCCUGAGAAACGGCUACCACAUCCACGGAAGGCAGCAGGCGCGUAAAUUACCCAAUCCUGACUCAGGGAGGUAGUGACAAGAAAUAACGGACCGAGCCUUUGUGCUUCGGGAUUGCAAUGAGCCGAAUUUAGACCCCUUAGCGAGUAACAAAUUGGAGGGCAAGCCUGGUGCCAGCAGCCGCGGUAAUUCCAGCUCCAAUAGCGUAUAUUAAAGUUGUUGCAGUUAAAAAGCUCGUAGUUGGAUUUCUGUGAGAGUGCCUGCCUCGGCUUUGAUGCUUGUGGGCAGCGCUCUUACAUCCUUCUGUUAACUGUUCUGGCCUUCGUUGGCUGGUUCAGGGCUCAGAUAUUUUACCUUGAGAAAAUUAGAGUGUUUCAGGCAGGCUUAUGCACGGAAUACAUUAGCAUGGAAUAAUGGAAUAGGACCUGUGCGUCUCUCGGGGCGCCGGUCUCUGUUGUUGGUUUCGGGGACUAAAGUAAUGAUUAAUAGGGAUAGUUGGGGGCAUUAGUAUUUAAUAG
rnacentral:rRNA from 1 species